AGUGGUUUGGAGAUGAUCCUGAUUGGAAUGUCUUGAAGUGACUCGACACUACAGAGACCGUUCCAGUCACGUCAUGCGUGGCAUUGUUCAUCUCCAUUUUCGCAACUAUCUAUCACCCGACAGCGUACUGCAGAGAAGGAGAGCAGACGCACAGGCAGAAAGGUCAACAGAGAAAGAGAGAAGCGGAAGAAGAAGGAUGAAUACAAGGCCAAGUCAGAGCAGGCAAAGAAGACAUUCACGGUCACAGGGGGUCCAGAACCUAUCCCGGAAGCUAUGGGCAUGAGGUAGGAAACAACCCAGG